rnacentral:piRNA from 1 species
UAGAAUGUGUUGUCUUGCUGUUCC